rnacentral:tRNA from 1 species
GUCCCUGUAGCUCAGCUGGAUAGAGCAACUGCCUUCUAAGCAGUCGGUCGGCUGUUCGAAUCAGCCCAGGGACGCCA